UAAUAGCGUAUAUUAAAGUUGUUGCAGUUAAAAGCUCGUAGUCGGAUGUCGGGCUCGGGCAAGCUGUCGGCCUUUGGUCGGACGGCAGGCUCGGGUCUUUCUGCCUGAGGAACCCGGUUGCUUUAACGAGCUGCCGGUGGACGCAGGUCGUUUACUUUGAAAAAUUAGAGUGUUCAAAGCGGGCUUACGCUUGAAUAUUUCAGCAUGGAAUAACACUAUAGGACUCCUGUCCUAUUUCGUUGGUCUCGGGACGGGAGGUAAUGAUUAAGAGGAACAAGUUGGGGGCGGAUUCGUUAUUUCUAUUGUUCAGAGGUGGAAAUUACUUUGGUAUUUAAUUGAAAGAACGAACUUACUUGCGAAAGACAUUUGUCCAA
rnacentral:rRNA from 1 species